rnacentral:rRNA from 1 species
GGGUUGUGAGGUUAAGUGACUAAGCGUACACGGUGGAUGCCUAGGCAGUCAGAGGCGAUGAAGGGCGUGCUAAUCUGCGAAAAGCGUCGGUAAGGUGAUAUGAACCGUUACAACCGGCGAUACCCGAAUGGGGAAACCCAGUGUGUUUCGACACAUUAUCAUGUCAUGAAUACAUAGUGGCAUGAGGCGAACCGGGGGAACUGAAACAUCUAAGUACCCCGAGGAAAAGAAAUCAACCGAGAUUCCCCCAGUAGCGGCGAGCGAACGGGGAGGAGCCCAGAACCUGAAUCGGCUUGUGUGUUAGUGGAAGCGUCUGGAAAGUCGCG